GUGCUUGCUUUGGCAGCACAUAUACUAAAAUUGGAACAAUACAGGGAAGAUUAGCAUGGGCCCCUGUGCAAGGAUGACAUGCAAAUUCGUGAAGCAUUCCAUAUUUUU
rnacentral:snRNA from 1 species